rnacentral:rRNA from 1 species
UAGUCAUAUGCUUGUCUCAAAGAUUAAGCCAUGCAUGUCUAAGUAUAAACAUCUUUAUACUGUGAAACUGCGUACAGCUCAUUAUAUCAGUAAUAAUUUAUUUGAUGGUACCUUACUAUACGGAUAACCGUGGUAAUUCUAUGGCUAAUACGUGCAUAAGGUCCCGACUCCGGUUCCGGCCGGGGAAGGGAUGUACUUAUUAGAUAAAAAACCAAUGCGUCCCUUCACGGGGGCGGUUUUGUGUUGAUUCAUAGUAAUUUAUCGAAUCGCAUGGCUU